rnacentral:rRNA from 1 species
GCGGAGGGAUCAUUACCGAGUUAUACAACUCAUCAACCCUGUGAACAUACCUAUAACGUUGCCUCGGCGGGAACAGACGGCCCCGUAACACGGGCCGCCCCCGCCAGAGGACCCCCUAACUCUGUUUCUAUAAUGUUUCUUCUGAGUAAACAAGCAAAUAAAUUAAAACUUUCAACAACGGAUCUCUUGGCUCUGGCAUCGAUGAAGAACGCAGCGAAAUGCGAUAAGUAAUGUGAAUUGCAGAAUUCAGUGAAUCAUCGAAUCUUUGAACGCACAUUGCGCCCGCCAGUAUUCUGGCGGGCAUGCCUGUUCGAGCGUCAUUACAACCCUCAGGCCCCCGGGCCUGGCGUUGGGGAUCGGCGGAAGCCCCCUGCGGGCACAACGCCGUCCCCCAAAUACAGUGGCGGUCCCGCCGCAGCUKCCAUUGCGUAGUAGCUAACACCUCGCAACUGGAGAGCGGCGCGGCCACGCCGUAAAACACCCAACUUCUGAAUGUUGACCUCGGAUCAGGUAGGAAUACCCGCUG